AAGUGAACAAAAAAGAAUAUACUCACGAGAGGAAGAAAUCAUAUAUUUGAUAAAAUUGUUGGAUUCCAAUAAUGGAUAUUACACGAGGACAUAGUCCAAAUGUGAUACGUAAUCUAAAUAUUUUCUUGACAACGAAACUCAAACUGAAGGCAUCCAUCAACAUCCGUACAACUUAUCAAAAACUUAACCGAGGAACAUCAUCCAACAAGAACAUCCCCUACAACUUUAUUAAAAUGGAAGGCCUCCAUCAUCAUCAUCAUCAUCAUCACCAUCAUCAUCAUCAUCAUCAUGAAUGAACUCCUAAAGCUUAGCUUGUAAAUAUCUGAUUUGUGAUUUAAGUUCCUGUCGUCGUACAACAGAAAUUAACAAUUAUAUUGUUUUUCAACAAUGCAAGAAUCCUCCUCCAAGCCUUCGCAACAUAAUAGGCAGAAUUUUCUUCAAACAUUGUAAAAAAGGCUAGUAAGGUUAUUCUACAAUGCACACUAGUCAUCAACCCAAUAAUGGGCUAACAUUUUUGUGUUUCCACCAAUUGUUAGCUAGAAAUAACUACUAUCAUGAUCUGAAAUUGUUAGGUCAGAUGUGACAUCAGAAUGGUUUCUCCUUAUGCUAUUUAUCUUUAAGAAAAAGCAGAAAUUAGAGAGAAAUUAUGUAUGAUUGGAGACGAGAUUCCUCCCCAACUGAUGACGUUGGACAAAAGAGGUGCUGCAGAAUAAGAAUACACUUAUCAAGACGCCUGGUCAGUACAAAGUCAUGAUACAAUCAAACAAAAAAACACCCAAAACAAAUCAUGACUAAAAUUUGAUAGUGAAUAGUUAGCAAAACACACUUGAUGAGAAAUUCAUACAUGUAGAAAUUGUAUAAGACCAUCACAAAAUAUUCAGCUUAUAUGAGUGAUGCUUGCAUCAAAUUUCUUAAUGUAUAUAUACAACUGUAUACUCAACUCUAGAUACAUAUCUAAUAUGUCGAAUAUUUUAUACGAUAGGAUUUCUCUAAGCCAUCCAGUAUGUUUUACCAUGUACAUUGUCUCUCUUUUUUUGCCUAAAGUAUACACAGUCAGCACCCUAUAAAUUCCUAGUGUAUAUAUACCAAAGGACACAUCAAGGAGUUUAAUUCUGUUAUCACAUGGUAGAAAACUCUAGUACAAUAAUGGGAUAACAUGCUAACUUGUUGGAGAAAAAAGAUAGAUGCAAUCGACAUGUGCAAACUUCUUUCCAUGAAUACUUCUGCAUGGCACAAAUAAAACUUUGACCAGUGCUUGGUAAGGCUAGAAGGAUUUUCUUGCCACCACAUUAACAUGCAUGUGUGUUUGUUGCUAGCGCUGGCUAGGAACUUAAUUAACAAAGCCAUAAUUUUUUUUUUGGCUAACCUUCUACAUGACCUAUUAGAUAAAUUAUUGUUGUGUUUGUCCUUCCUCAAUAACAGCCUUCUUAGAGCCUCAAAACAAUGUUCUUCAUUUGUUAAGCCAUGACCAUGUCAACCAGCUGCUCAUUGGCACACUCAUUUUCAUGAUGGUGGCCUUGGUCUGAUAGCGUCAAUAUGAUAAUACAAAACACUAAGUACGCCUGAUGGCACAUAUAUUUUCACGUCCAACGAAACAAAUUAUUAAGAAACUGACCUUAUCAGAUCAAAUAUGAGGUAGAAUUUGUAAUUGUUAUGUCCAUCAUCUCCUCUCCUUGCAUGCCACAUACCUGCAC
rnacentral:lncRNA from 1 species